rnacentral:tRNA from 1 species
GGGGUUGUGGCUCAGCAGUAGAGUGCUUGCCUAGCAUGUGCAAGGCCCUGGGUUCGAUCCUCAGCACCACCU